ACGUAGGGUCCAAGCGUUGUCCGGAUUUACUGGGUGUAAAGGGUGCGUAGGCGGACUUGUGCGUCAGAGGUUAAAUGUCACAGCUCAACUGUGAACCUGCCUUUGAUACGGCAAGUCUAGAGUACGAGAGAGGAUGGUAGAAUUCUUGGUGUAGCGGUGAAAUGCGUAGAUAUCAAGAGGAAUACCAGUGGCGAAGGCGGCCAUCUGGCUCGUAACUGACGCUGAGGCACGAAAGCGUGGGGAGCGAACAGGAUUAGAUACCCUGGUAGUCCACGCCCUAAACGAUGUAUGCUUGGUGUUGGAGACCUAGUCUUCAGUGCCGUAGGAAACCCGUUAAGCAUACCACCUGGGGAGUACGAUCGCAAGUUUG
rnacentral:rRNA from 1 species